GAUAGAUUGGUGACUAACAUGAUAAGUGCAAGAAAUACAUUGGAAUUUUGUGCAGUCUUACCACACCAUUAAGCCAACUAGAUGUCCCCUGCAAUAAUGGAACUGAAGAUACAAUGACAGAUGGCAAGCCGCUGGGACGUAGCACACUGUCUGGAAAGAGCAUACCCCUGUACCAAUGGAACAGCAAGAACUGUGGUUAACUUGGGAGAGUGGAAAUGUGAAAUGGAUAAUGCUCAAAUGAAAUGAAUUUCUUAUGUUUCCAUAAAGUCGCUUAAUGAGCUGUAUCCCAUGAGAUCAUACUGGAGACCCACGACAGUUAAGUCCAUGUAGCCAACUGAAGCCUGCUUUUGUGUCUAGAAUGCUCUUUCUCAAAGCUCUGCUGGCUACCCUCACUCUUGCCUGCCCCUCACUCAUUAAAAUAGGACGCUUGGCUGUAUGUUGAAAGC